rnacentral:lncRNA from 10 species
UGAGGACAUUGUUGUGAGGGUGUGACUUUUGUGAAGCCAGAAAACUGUGCCUAAGAUUCAUUACAGUGAGUAUGUGCAGAGGCCCCUGACCCAGUAAAUGCUUUUUGCCUUUUUAUUCCCAAUGUCUUGGACAGUUGAGACAACUUGGCCCAACUCUGAAUUGUAGCAGUGAUGUCUUAUAUGCUUACGAGUUUAUAUUAAUUCAGCUGAACAAGAACUACAUCUUAAACCACCUUUGUAGGUAUGAUUAAUACGUGCAACAGCUGCUUUAAAAGGUGGUAUUUAUUAUUCAUCACUCAUGAAACUUGACUCAGUGAGGACUUCAUUAUUUUUAUUUCUCUUUCCACGUCUCCAACUUUUUAAAAAUCACUAAUUUAACUCUUUGUUAAGUACUCAAGUACAAAGUGAUCUCUUCUUUCAUGAACUUUGCUAUAACUGUUGAAAGGAUUGGUGUCAGGCUCUCUCAACCCUGGGAGUUUCCAAAAUUUAGCAAAUAUUACUUGUGAUAAGCUUAAAUGCCACAUCGCUAAGUACAAUUAUUACCAGGAAUCCGUCAAGGGGGAGAUAGCCCCGCUCACACCCUUAGACCCAAACAGGUGCUGGUUCAUGCUUUCUCCACAAAUUGGCAGUUGGGUACUUCCCCACUGUCAUCACAGUUGAGCUCAUUUUAACAUAUAUUCAAAGAAGCUUUUUAGUUUCUACUCCUGAAUUGUAGUGUUCAAGUUAUUUGCCUUCCUGGGUAAGAAAAUUUUAACCCAAGUCUGGGAUUCUCUGGCACCUGUCUUUUCCCAUCUUUUAAUGAGUUGGCAAGAUUAGGUCAAAUUUCAAUGCUAAAUUUGAUUUUUUGAAUUUUAAAUAGUUGCACUUUAUUUCAUGCUGACCACCAACUUAAUUUAUACAUUUUAAAAUAAAAUUAUCCUAGAAGUGUUGUAAACGUGGGAAAAUUUUAAUUAGUGUUGGAGGUCAUUAGAUUGGACCCAGGUUUAAAUAUAAUGAUCUCUUCACAGCUUAUUUGAUGUUUAAGAGCAACUUGUGUGAUCUUAGCUUUGCAGGUUUUCUGUAAUUUAUGUAGCACAAUAAAGGAUAACCAGUUGACUGUGUUACUGGACUCUGAGUUCUCACAGCUAGUUUCAUCUAAGCUUGGUUUAUUAUCAUUUCUGCUUUGGAUUUUUUUGUGCAUCACAUGAAUACUUAGAAAUCCAUUUGUUUUCAGUGUAGUACCUAGGGUGAAGUAGAUGCUGCACAAGUAAGUUUAAGGGAAUAAAAGUCCCGACACUUUAUAUACAUGUUGAGGGGCACGAUUUAAGAGACUGAAACAGUUUACAUUAAACUGUUUUUAUUUUCUGCCAGUAGACUCUAUCUGCUUAAAAAAAUAAAAAUUGUUCAACCCAGUGUUCUCCAGCAUCAGGACAUUACAGUUGUAAUCUAUGUUGUAAUCUUUUCAAAUAAGAAAAGCUACUCCUUAUUCUCUACAGUGUAGGCUUAAUUUUAGAACCGAUAAUUUACUAUAUCUGCAUUAUUGAUAUUUUUAAGUAGUAGUUUUAAAAAUAAUUAUUUCUAUGUGGAGGGUGUUUUAAUUUGGGAUUUUUUUUUUCUUGUAACAGGUGCUAUUUGUAAAUAUGAAGGGGAAAAGUCACUUAGUUAAAAGUCUAGCUUAUGUCAUAAUUAAGAUACAAUUAUUCAUUUCAUGUUUGAUUCUAUUAAACUAGUGGCAAAACAGAAUUGGUCCCUUAGUUUUUUAGAUUACCUUUCCCCCUAUAUCACAAAAAUAUCUCUUUCCAUAUGAUCUCAUAAUUGAGGCAAAGAAGCUAAGGGUUUAUUUAAAAUGUGUAUAAGCUUGAAUUUGGUCAACACUGCAUAAUUUGAAAUCACUCUGCAUUUGUCACUGCAGCUUACUGUAUGCUUGAAAGGCCUUGUGUGUUUGUCUUAAUUUUAGUGAAAAAAUUAGAAUUUCUGCCAUUCAUGUACAAAAAAAUUACAACUACAGCAAACAAGAUAAAAAUGCUGGUUUGCAUUAAUACUGUUUUAGUCUUAAGAGCAAUUUAUAUUAUGUGAAAUGCUGUUACACAUAUUUUGUUGGCCAUAUUUCAUUUUGAGAAACAGUUGUUCAGGUACAAACAUGACAAACAACUCUAGCUAUGACUCUUAAUGUUCAAUUGCAAAAUAAAGAUGUGCUUUAGUAAUCUAAA